rnacentral:misc_RNA from 1 species
AAUGUAAAGUAGGCGAUCAGGUAUCGUGUUGAUACACUUCAUUUUUCUGAUAUUUUGUUUUCCUUUGCCUUGAAUUUUUGAUCUUUUUUAUUAUUUCAUGCAACGGAAGGAGGGAAGGAAAGGAUAGCCAUGUUUUUGGAUUCUGGUUUAGUACUUUCAAAGGUGCCACAUUUAUCAGAUGUGUAGAAUGAAGCACAAACAUUUGAUUUUUUGAACCAUUUGUCUGAACAAUUUAUUUAGCAGGCGUUUGGCAACAACACAAUUCCUGAUUUCCCGUUGCUAAAAAGUUGGCCCAAUUAAAUAUGGGUGGAAAUAGUGAAAUAAUAUUGUCUGUCUGUGUGCAUUACCAUUAUCAGCAAGGAUAACCUCCACAAACCUGCUUUAUUUAUUUAUUUAUUUAUUG